CAUACACAUAUAUAUAUAUGUGUGUGUGUAUGUGUGUGUGUGUGCAUGUAUGUAUGUAUGUAUGUAUAUAUAUCAUAUUCCACUGUAGGUUUUGAGACUUCAGUGUCUAAAUGUGACUAUCUCAAAGAUGAAUGUGAAAUCAAAGUGUGAAUCCAGUCUCCAAGUAUGACUCCAAUCUACAAGAGUGAUGUCAGAGGGCAUGCAGUGUGACUUCAGUCUACAAACGCAAGACAGGCCUUCAGGAGAGACUUCAAUUGCAUGUAGGAGCAUUCCAGAAUCCGUCUUGGAAUGCCACACUCCCAACACGAAUUGAAAGCAGGAGAUGAGAUUGGGCUCCGGAUAUCACAUCGGGAUUUUGGCGUCCAUUUGGCCCUGAAAAUAUACCCGAAUGUCAGCCGGGCUUCAGUCAUCAUUUCAAGCCAUCAAGCUUGAAGUCUGAGAAAGUCUGAAGCGUCUUACGCCAGCCUAUGAAACCACAUUUCAGGUUUACACUCUUUUGCCUGGAAUCUUGCACCGUAGUUACCCUGAAGUCUGAAAUUCUGUUUCCCUUCUGGUCCCUAACGCUUCUACAAAGUCAUCCUCGAGGAGUCAUCCCAGGGUGGUUGAAGAACGUUACUCCUUCACUCGAACUGAAAUGCCAUACUUAAGCCUGAGACAUCACACUUAAAGUGUGUGUGUGUGUGUGUGUGUGUGUGUGUGUAUGUCUGUGUGUGUGUUCUUUUCAAUAUGUUUCUGUAUUUCGAAUUUAUUUUUUUAUGUAAUAAAUCUUAAAUUUUAGAAA